AACGNGGGGNCUUAANCAUGCAAGUCGAACGGGAUCCAUCAGGCUUUGCUUGGUGGUGAGAGUGGCGAACGGGUGAGUAAUGCGUGACCGACCUGCCCCAUACACCGGAAUAGCUCCUGGAAACGGGUGGUAAUGCCGGAUGCUCCGACUCCUCGCAUGGGGUGUCGGGAAAGAUUUCAUCGGUAUGGGAUGGGGUCGCGUCCUAUCAGGUAGUCGGCGGGGUAACGGCCCACCGAGCCUACGACGGGUAGCCGGCCUGAGAGGGCGACCGGCCACAUUGGGACUGAGAUACGGCCCAGACUCCUACGGGAGGCAGCAGUGGGGAAUAUUGCACAAUGGGCGCAAGCCUGAUGCAGCGACGCCGCGUGCGGGAUGACGGCCUUCGGGUUGUAAACCGCUUUUGAUCGGGAGCAAGCCUUCGGGUGAGUGUACCUUUCGAAUAAGCACCGGCUAACUACGUGCCAGCAGCCGCGGUAAUACGUAGGGUGCAAGCGUUAUCCGGAAUUAUUGGGCGUAAAGGGCUCGUAGGCGGUUCGUCGCGUCCGGUGUGAAAGUCCAUCGCUUAACGGUGGAUCUGCGCCGGGUACGGGCGGGCUGGAGUGCGGUAGGGGAGACUGGAAUUCCCGGUGUAACGGUGGAAUGUGUAGAUAUCGGGAAGAACACCAAUGGCGAAGGCAGGUCUCUGGGCCGUUACUGACGCUGAGGAGCGAAAGCGUGGGGAGCGAACAGGAUUAGAUACCCUGGUAGUCCACGCCGUAAACGGUGGAUGCUGGAUGUGGGGCCCGUUCCACGGGUUCCGUGUCGGAGCUAACGCGUUAAGCAUCCCGCCUGGGGAGUACGGCCGCAAGGCUAAAACUCAAAGAAAUUGACGGGGGCCCGCACAAGCGGCGGAGCAUGCGGAUUAAUUCGAUGCAACGCGAAGAACCUUACCUGGGCUUGACAUGUUCCCGACCGCGGCAGAGAUGUCGUUUCCCUUCGGGGCGGGUUCACAGGUGGUGCAUGGUCGUCGUCAGCUCGUGUCGUGAGAUGUUGGGUUAAGUCCCGCAACGAGCGCAACCCUCGCCCUGUGUUGCCAGCACGUCAUGGUGGGAACUCACGGGGGACCGCCGGGGUCAACUCGGAGGAAGGUGGGGAUGACGUCAGAUCAUCAUGCCCCUUACGUCCAGGGCUUCACGCAUGCUACAAUGGCCGGUACAACGGGAUGCGACACGGCGACGUGGAGCGGAUCCUGAAACCGGUCUCAGUUCGGAUUGGAUNUGCACCCGACUCCUGAAGGGGAGUCGCUAUAAUCGCGAUCACAACGCCGCGGGAAUGCUUCCCGGCCUUUACCACGCCGUCAAUCUUGAAAGGGGAACCCCCAAACCGUGGCUACCCUUUUGGAGGACCGCUAAGGGAC
rnacentral:rRNA from 1 species